UUUCAGCAAAAACAUCAGUGACCGACAAAACUGCAGUUCAAUGGCAUUUUCGCCUCCAUAACUAUCAGCUCUUGCUCGUCACUGCCCACUCAUUAUAUUUUCACCUCCAUAGCUACCAGCUCUUGCUCGUCGCUNGCUCAUUGUAUACUUCACUAAAAACCCUCCAUAAUGAGACCCCAAGCUUUCUCUUGCCUCACCAUUACUAUCUUCACUUUUCUUGUCCUCCGAAUUGCCUCAACUCAGCCUCCAUUUUCUUGUGAUCCAUCA
rnacentral:misc_RNA from 1 species